CUUCAGCGCGCCCACCAGCAGCGGCCGGUCGGGCGCCCGGUCCUGGCCGUAGGUGGCCAGCAGGGCAUGCGCCUC
rnacentral:antisense_RNA from 1 species